rnacentral:rRNA from 1 species
UGCCUAUACAUGCAAGUCGAACGAACUCUGGGUAUUGAUUGGUGCUUGCAUCAUGAUUUACAUUUGAGUGAGUGGCGAACUGGUGAGUAACACGUGGGAAACCUGCCCAGAAGCGGGGGAUAACACCUGGAAACAGAUGCUAAUACCGCAUAACAACUUGGACCGCAUGGUCCGAGUUUGAAAGAUGGCUUCGGCUAUCACUUUUGGAUGGUCCCGCGGCGUAUUAGCUAGAUGGUGAGGUAACGGCUCACCAUGGCAAUGAUACGUAGCCGACCUGAGAGGGUAAUCGGCCACAUUGGGACUGAGACACGGCCCAAACUCCUACGGGAGGCAGCAGUAGGGAAUCUUCCACAAUGGACGAAAGUCUGAUGGAGCAACGCCGCGUGAGUGAAGAAGGGUUUCGGCUCGUAAAACUCUGUUGUUAAAGAAGAACAUAUCUGAGAGUAACUGUUCAGGUAUUGACGGUAUUUAACCAGAAAGCCACGGCUAACUACGUGCCAGCAGCCGCGGUAAUACGUAGGUGGCAAGCGUUGUCCGGAUUUAUUGGGCGUAAAGCGAGCGCAGGCGGUUUUUUAAGUCUGAUGUGAAAGCCUUCGGCUCAACCGAAGAAGUGCAUCGGAAACUGGGAAACUUGAGUGCAGAAGAGGACAGUGGAACUCCAUGUGUAGCGGUGAAAUGCGUAGAUAUAUGGAAGAACACCAGUGGCGAAGGCGGCUGUCUGGUCUGUAACUGACGCUGAGGCUCGAAAGUAUGGGUAGCAAACAGGAUUAGAUACCCUGGUAGUCCAUACCGUAAACGAUGAAUGCUAAGUGUUGGAGGGUUUCCGCCCUUCAGUGCUGCAGCUAACGCAUUAAGCAUUCCGCCUGGGGAGUACGGCCGCAAGGCUGAAACUCAAAGGAAUUGACGGGGGCCCGCACAAGCGGUGGAGCAUGUGGUUUAAUUCGAAGCUACGCGAAGAACCUUACCAGGUCUUGACAUACUAUGCAAAUCUAAGAGAUUAGACGUUCCCUUCGGGGACAUGGAUACAGGUGGUGCAUGGUUGUCGUCAGCUCGUGUCGUGAGAUGUUGGGUUAAGUCCCGCAACGAGCGCAACCCUUAUUAUCAGUUGCCAGCAUUAAGUUGGGCACUCUGGUGAGACUGCCGGUGACAAACCGGAGGAAGGUGGGGAUGACGUCAAAUCAUCAUGCCCCUUAUGACCUGGGCUACACACGUGCUACAAUGGAUGGUACAACGAGUUGCGAACUCGCGAGAGUAAGCUAAUCUCUUAAAGCCAUUCUCAGUUCGGAUUGUAGGCUGCAACUCGCCUACAUGAAGUCGGAAUCGCUAGUAAUCGCGGAUCAGCAGCCGUCCC